GAGACUGCGCUGCUCCAGCCCGGGAAAAGUUCUAGAAUAGAGGCGCGGCGCAAGUCAGGGGGCCGCCUUGGAAACCGCAGCAAGGGCUCCUUGUGGGCUCCAGGCUGUUGGAGAGUGAGGGAGCCUCCUCCCCUUUCCUUCCCGUGGAGUAAACAGAGCUUGGCAGGGCUGGAGGCUUUCUUCCUUUUAAAAAGUGCCAUUCUGAACAACGAUACAAAGUGAAAAAAUAAAUUUUUUAAAAAAGAAAGGGAAAAACUACAAUUUGACCAUUCUGACCAGCCUCCUUGUUCCAACUGGCCUCUUGAUUUGUAUAAAGAUAAUGGGGUCCGGCGGCCCCCUUGAUGCAUGAAUUGCACGCUGGGCAUAAUGAACUUAUUGUGCGAAAGCACUUUGGACUUCGGACUGUGUUCCUAUGUCAGAAUUUUACUGUGGUUUGUAAGAUAAACUGGAAGGAAACAAACUCGUGGUUAACUCUUGUCAAUACGUGUCUUGAACCAAGCAAAGUGACAUUUCCUACCUGUGGCUUUGACUUUAAGCUGCACAAAAGCUCACACAUACAGUCGGCUCAGGCAGACGGCCCAAGACAAGCCUGUGCCAAAGAAAUGCUGAUUUAGUCUGACCCAGACAAUCUCUACUCCCACAUGUCACUUCUCUGCAGAACUCUUACUAGUAUGGCAAAUACUUUAAAAAUCAUACAAUAAAAGAAGGCAAAACCUCAGUAAUUUGAGGUUCACUUUUAAUAAACUCUUUCCAUGCAUUAAAAUAAAUUGAGGCCCUGAGCUCUGGCGAAAUGUUUCCGGGUUUUUAAUUCCCACCGCCCCCCCACCCCGGAGGCAUAAAUAGCCACAUACGCAAUUCAAAGUACUC
rnacentral:lncRNA from 1 species